rnacentral:rRNA from 1 species
GCUACACAUGCAGUCGAGGGGUAACAUUACUUUCGGGUAGAUGACGACCGGCGCACGGGUGAGUAACGCGUAUGCAACCUACCCUGUACUGAGGGAUAGCCCAUGGAAACGUGGAUUAAUACCUCAUGGUUCUUAUUUUCCGCAUGGUUAAUAAGAUAAAGUUUCGGCGGUACAGGAUGGGCAUGCGUGACAUUAGUUUGUUGGUAAGGUAACGGCUUACCAAGACUACGAUGUCUAGGGGGUCUGAGAGGAUUGUCCCCCACACUGGUACUGAGACACGGACCAGACUCCUACGGGAGGCAGCAGUGAGGAAUAUUGGUCAAUGGGCGCAAGCCUGAACCAGCCAUGCCGCGUGCAGGAUGACUGCCCUAUGGGUUGUAAACUGCUUUUGUAUGGGAAGAAAUGCAUCUACGUGUAGAUGUUUGCCGGUACCAUACGAAUAAGGAUCGGCUAACUCCGUGCCAGCAGCCGCGGUAAUACGGAGGAUUCGAGCGUUAUCCGGAUUUAUUGGGUUUAAAGAGUGCGUAGGCGGCUGAAUAAGUCAGUGGUGAAAGACUGUGGCUCAACCAUAGAAUUGCCAUUGAAACUGUUUAGCUUGAAUAUAGUUGAGGUAGGCGGAAUGUGUAGUGUAGCGGUGAAAUGCUUAGAUAUUACACAGAACACCGAUUGCGAAGGCAGCUUACUAAGCUAUUAUUGACGCUGAUGCACGAAAGCGUGGGUAGCGAACAGGAUUAGAUACCCUGGUAGUCCACGCCGUAAACGAUGAUCACUCGUUGUCUGCGAUACAUUGUAGUGACUAAGCGAAAGCGAUAAGUGAUCCACCUGGGGAGUACGAUCGCAGAUUGAAACUCAAGGAAUUGACGGGGCCGCACAGCGGAGAUCAUGUGUUUAAUUCGAUGAUACGCGAGGAUCUACUGGGCUAAUGUAGAUUGCAUGAGUAGAAUAGCUCUUUUCUUCGACUAUUUACAGUGUUGCAUGAUGUCGUCCGCUCGUGCGUG